CGGAUUCAUUGGGCGUAAAGGGUGCGUAGGUGGCGGGGUAAGUUGGAUGUGAAAUCUCGGAGCUCAACUCCGAAACUGCAUUCAAUACUGCCUUGCUAGAGUACUGGAGAGGAGAUUGGAAUUUACGGUGUAGCAGUGAAAUGCGUAGAUAUCGUAAGGAAGACCAGUGGCGAAGGCGGAUCUCUGGACAGUUACUGACACUGAGGCACGAAGGCCAGGGGAGCAAACGGG
rnacentral:rRNA from 1 species